rnacentral:rRNA from 1 species
GGUCCCGAGCGUUGUUCGGAUUCACUGGGCGUAAAGGGUGCGUAGGUGGUGAGGUAAGUCGGAUGUGAAAUCUCCAAGCUCAACUUGGAAAUGGCAUUGGAAACUACCUUGCUGGAGGUUUGGAGGGGGGACUGGAAUUCUCGGUGUAGCAGUGAAAUGCGUAGAUAUCAAGAGGAACACCAGUGGCGAAGGCGAGUCCCUGGACAACACCUGACACUGAGGCACGAAAGCUAGGGGAGCAAACAGG